GAUUAGGCAACUUACUCAUUUUAAGUAAGGGAGAACAUAGAUUUAUAUUUCAUAAAGCCCAUCUUGCAACAGUAUGACUAAUGGACCAUAAGGAAUCAAAAUGAAAGCAAAAAGACUAGUUUCAGAGGCUGUUGGAGCAGGUCCUAGACGUUAAGAAAUUUAUCUGAGAUCUUCUCUAAUUCCUAAGUUAAUAAAUGCGGAAAUGCUUAUACAGGCUCAGAUCUUUUCUCUAACCAAAUUUUUCAUAGAAAAUUACAUGUUCCUGGGGAAUGUCCUUACUCAAGUUAACACCUUUCCUAUGAUUCCACAAAAACAACUGCUGUACUAUUUUGACUAAAGUAGUUUCAAAACCACUUUUUCUUUUGUUACACAGAUCUGAGUCAAUGUCAUAUCUAACAUCCAUUUUUUAAAUCCCAACAACAAUUUUAUAAAUAAGAACUAUAAACGCUUAAGACCUCCUAAAUCUCUCUCUACUUUUACCACCAGCAUUAGCUGUUGGCUUUUUUCUACUAGAAUAAAAGUUUUCAUGACUUCACAGUAAGUUGCUUCAUCCAUAAUUCCCAGUGCCCUCCUCCAAUGCCCUCAGCUGCACGCUCAACCAACACAGCAGCACAGAGGGAGUACUAUGCAAAUUUGUGCCCCCCAAAAUUAAAUAUCAUUACUUGAAAUAAAUUUUCAAUGUCACCUAAGAAUAGGUGAAGCUUUCCAUUUUAAGUCCACAGACACAGAGUCCUAUAGCAUAGUAAUCCACUUGAAAAAUGGUGAGAUGUCUAUUACUGCAGGACCAGUGGAAAUGGAGAAGGGAUGGAUUUAGGGGAUGUCAAGAAGGAAGAACUGAUAUGAGUUGUGACUCAAUGGAUGUAAGACAUAGAAAAACUAUUCCUAAAUUCCUCUGGUUCAUGACUUAGCAGAUGAUAGUAUCACUUACGAAAACAUAGAGAAACAGAUUUGGACCAAAAAGAUAAUGAGUUCAUUAUAAAGUGCACCUCACCAAUGAGAAAAAAAGCUACAUUCUGGUAUACUUUAACCAAGACAAAUAUGUUUAGAUUAAGAUGGAAUCUCUCCAACUGUACUACUAGCACUACUUAACAACCUAAAUUUAGGUAGUUAAUGCUAUGAAAACCUUACUUAACACUGAGAAAACCAUUUCACUUGAGAGCCUUAUUAAAUGUAUGUGAAAUUUAGAUACAAGAUAUUUAACAAUUAUCACACCUGCUUGAAGAGCAAAAACUGCUCAACUGGUAUAAAUAACAUAAGUCUAUGCAACUGGGUGAUAAGUACAUCAGACAUAAAACUGCCACUAACUAGGAAUAUCUGCAUUUACCCUGGGAAAGACCAGUCAUGGGCAGACUUACAGGCAUAAAAGUCUAUAACCUAACAGUCUGAAAAUGUUGUAAUUUUCAAGGUCAAUGACUUCUUAAGGCUUAUAAAAGUAGUGAUUGUAUUCUAAAUAGUCCCAUGAAUCUGCUUACUGGGACCUCAAGUUUCUUUGCCCCACAAAGAGGGCAGUUAUAAAUAAGUAAAAGCUAACCUCUUUUACAUGGUUUUGAAUUUUCUGAUAUAACACAUAUCAGAAAAUUUUUCAUACGCUAUAAGCCAAAGGGAUUGGAAACUAUUCACUUUUUAAGCAAGAUAGACUCGAGGCUACAAAGCUAAGUUGUUGCAGAACCUGGCUUCUGUUUUCCUCUCCAACUUACCUCAUUACAGAUCCCCUAUAUUGAACAUUACCCCCCAACUAGAAAGCACUAGACUGCUUGUAGUUUAGUAUGAUAUUGCAGCUUAGUAUAUUGCUAUGCAUGAUAAUGUACUGCUUUUAUAUCCCUGCUCAUAUUUUCUCUUUCUCUGCAUUGCUACCUAGUUACUCAUCCUUCAAAACUCAGUUCAGAGAUCAGCUCCUCCAAGAAGGCUUCUGUGGUUGUGGUUGGUGCUCUUUCCUACCAGUACCAGCUGUCCUGAGAGCACGUCUCUACAUCUCUACCUGCAUUCUGGAAACCGGGAGAAAGCCAAAACGGAUGACAAGACACUAGAUCAGCCGUGUCCAACCCUGUGACUACAAGGACUUUUCCGCCUAUCUUUGGUGAGACGGGGUCUCACUGUAUUGUCCAGGUUGGUCUCAAAC
rnacentral:lncRNA from 1 species